AGAGUUUGAUCAUGGCUCAGGAUAAACGCUGGCGGCGUGCCUAAAACAUGCAAGUCGUACGGGCAUCUUCGGAUGUCAGUGGCGGACGGCUGAGUAACACGUGGGUGACCUACCUCCGAGCGGGGGACAACUGCCCGAAAGGGUAGCUAAUACCGCAGACGUCAUCGGGUCGGACCGGUGACUAAACCCGCAAGGGGCUUGGAGAGGGGCCCGCGGCCGAUUAGCUAGUUGGUGGGGUAAAGGCCUACCAAGGCUUCGAUCGGUAGCUGGUCUGAGAGGAUGAUCAGCCAGACUGGGACUGCGACACGGCCCAGACUCCUACGGGAGGCAGCAGUUAGGAAUUUUGGGCAAUGGGGGAAACCCUGACCCAGCAACGCCGCGUGGGUGACGAAGGCCUUCGGGUCGUAAAGCCCUUUUCCAGGGGAAGAUAGUGACGGUACCCUGGGAAUAAGCCCCGGCUAACUACGUGCCAGCAGCCGCGGUAAUACGUAGGGGGCGAGCGUUGUCCGGAUUUAUUGGGCGUAAAGGGCUCGCAGGCGGCCUGACCAAGUCGUGCGUGAAAUCUCUCGGCUUAACUGAGAGCGGUCGCGCGAUACUGGUCGGCUCGAGGCCGGUAGGGGGAAGCGGAAUUCCGGGUGUAGUGGUGGAAUGCAUAGAUAUCCGGAGGAACACCAGUGGCGAAGGCGGCUUCCUGGACCGGUCCUGACGCUCAGGAGCGAAAGCGUGGGUAGCGAUCCGGAUUAGAUACCCCGGUAGUCC
rnacentral:rRNA from 1 species